CCACUGCUGUGCAGAUGCUGCUGAGCAAAAGUUGUGAGAGAGCUCGACCAGAGAGCGAAGCAAAUCCGAGUGGGACGAAACCUGAGCAAAUGAGAAUCCUGCUCCCCUGGCAAAGAGAGAUCACCUUAUAUGGGAACAUCACGAGCAAGAGGAUGAACAGUCCAGCCGGGCUGCUGAGGUCAGAUCCCAAACAGAGGGAAGAUGUUAGUGUGAAAACAAGAGCAUUUAGGAAGAGAAAACAAUAGUUCUGCUUUGCUCAAGCAAUCUGACCCCUCCUGUUUGUUUGUUUCUGUUAUUAUAAAUAUUGUGCUGUAUGUACACAUAGGUCUGACUGUAUUCUAUUAAAAGUUAAUUUCUUUGUGGCUAUUCUAGUACCUAAAUGCAUCCCAAGCCUGUUUCUGGCUCCCACUUGGAGCUGUACUGUGGUGAGCUAAAGCCUAAGGAGCGAUCACAGACAUCUUCAAAAAUUAAGCCUGUUUGUGCAGAAUGUGGCCUGUUCCUGUGAGCUGAGGCAUUUAAGACAAUACUGACAGCCAAGAAGUCUGUCUGGUUCUGAAUGUUUUGUCAUGUGUACAGUUGUGAUUUAAAGUACUAAAGGAUUGGAAGAAAAACGUUAGAUCUGUGUUGAAGGGUUUGUAUAUUUUGUGCUUUAUGUGAGUCUUCUGUUCCAAGAGAGAGGGCUCUGGUCCUUUAAAUCUGGGUCUAAUGGAUUCUGAUCCAAAUGUGUGUCUUUCAGACUCUGAGCCUGGGAUUUACAGGUCCGACUUUGAGAGCUCUGCAUCUUUCAAGCCCCACCUUCUGUGUGUACAGUGCCAGUGGUGGCCUCACACCUCUCCCUGCCCCCUGGACCAGAUGCACACUGUUGGCUUGGAAAACAGCUGCAGCUUUGUGUGGCUCUGUGCAGCAGGAGAGGCACAGCCAAGACAGUUGUAUAGCCAUUGCUCACAGACUCUGUCAGGAGAGGAUGAAGUUAACAGCUCAGUAAGUACCAAUGUGAAGGAAGUGGCUCACAAAAGAAACAAGAUCUGGCAUACAGCAGAAUACACUGUACCAAUGCAGUUCUGAGGAGUUCUGAAGAUUUCACUGUGCCAAUAAGCACAACAUUCACUUCCCAAAAUUUAAUUACACCACGUAAGUGCAAACAUUCCUCAAUGCUUUCUGAAGAAUAAGUAGUAGUGCUCUGAAAAAAUUGUGUAAAUUGGCAUUAUUUACUCAAAAAGGCUGUGCAUUCAGGACUGUAUCUGCCUGAGUGAAAAAUAAAAAGUUUCUAUAAUUUUUUUGUCUUAUUAGUCCUUCAGAAAACAAGGGAAAUAAGGAAAGCUUGGGAACACAGCCUCCCAGCAUAACUAUUUCUCCCAUGCAUAGGUCAACAGAAUUGCUUAGUCAGCUAUACUGGUUUAUAUUAGGAUAAAAUCACUAUAGCACAAACAGAUGUGUGAUUCAAAUUAUAAGGUGAAAGUAUUUAGUUUACACAGGUAAAAUUUUGCUGGCGGUAAUAUCCAAAGAGUAAAGAAUUCAUCUGAAUUCCCAGAUCCCAGUAAGGGACAUAUAAAUCUGGAAGCUACAAACCAAAAAAUUCAUAUGUUUACAAACUGAGCAGAUGUAAC
ensembl:lncRNA